GGGUUAUGGCUCUCAUCAGAUAGCAACACUACAGUGUGACGCAGAUUGCUGGGAGUCCACCGGCAGCAUGAUGCUGGGCUUGUACGUGCCAGACAAAUGGCACACCAGCCUCCAAAACUUAAUAACCAGGACCAACUAUUUUUUCCCUUGCUGCUUAGCGGAUUAGGGAAGGCAUGAGAGACAGUCCCGUACAUUCAGGAGCCUGGAGGGCUGCUCUUCAGCCCAGGUGUAAUACAUGAAAACUUGAGCCUCAGUGUGGCAGAACCAUCUCACUUGCUUUAAAGUGAGAGUGAAAAUUCUGCAGAGAAGAAGGCUUCGACCUACCGUAGAAGGUAAGG